AACGCUGGCGGCAGGCCUAACACAUGCAAGUCGAGCGCCCCGCAAGGGAGCGGCGGACGGGUGAGUAACGCGUGGGAACGUGCCUCUUGCUACGGAAUAGCCUCGGGAAACUGGGAGUAAUACCGUAUGUGCCCUACGGGGGAAAGAUUUAUCGGCAAGAGAUCGGCCCGCGUUGGAUUAGGUAGUUGGUGGGGUAAUGGCCUACCAAGCCGACGAUCCAUAGCUGGUUUGAGAGGAUGAUCAGCCACACUGGGACUGAGACACGGCCCAGACUCCUACGGGAGGCAGCAGUGGGGAAUCUUAGACAAUGGGCGCAAGCCUGAUCUAGCCAUGCCGCGUGAGCGAUGAAGGCCUUAGGGUUGUAAAGCUCUUUCAGUGGGGAAGAUAAUGACUGUACCCACAGAAGAAGCCCCGGCUAACUCCGUG
rnacentral:rRNA from 1 species